GGUCCGUUCCCAGCUGGACGCCUUCGCCACAGGUGGUCCUCCCAGGAUUAUAGGAUUUCACCCCUACCCUGGGAGUUCCUCCAGCCUCUCCCGGCCUCAAGCCUGAUAGUAUCUCCAGCAAUUCCCACAGUUAAGCUGCGGGAUUUCACCAGAGACUUAUCAGGCCGGCUACGAACGCUUUAGGCCCAAUAAAAGCGGCCACCACUUGAGCUGCCGGUGUUACCGCGGCGGCUGGCACCGGUCUUGCCCAGCCCUUAUUCCUGAAGCUUUUUACACUUUAGAAAAGCUACCCCGUUAAGAGUAGCACUUGGGGUCCCCCCGUCGCGAUUGCUCUGCAUUGCGGAGGUUUCGCGCCUAGCUGCGCCCCGUAGGGCCUGGAACCUUGUCUCAGGUUCCAUCUCCGGGCUCUUGCUCUCACAACCCGUACAGAUCACAGGCUUGGUGGGCCAUUACCCCACCAACAACCUAAUCUGCCGCAGAUCCAUCCUUAGGCGCCGGAGCUUUCAAUGGAGUACCAUUCCAGGCAUCUCCAUAUAUCCGGUAUUGUCCCCAGUUUCCCGGGGUUAUCCCAGUCCUAAGGGUAGGUUAUCCACGUGUUACUGAGCCGUUUGCCACGACCCCCGAAGGGAUCGUUCGACUUGCAUGGCUUAAUCGAACCCCAAUAGGUAAAACGACGGCCAGUUC
rnacentral:rRNA from 1 species